rnacentral:rRNA from 1 species
GACAGAGGUGCCGAGCGUUAGGCGGAAUCACUGGGCUUAAAGCGUGUGUAGGCGGACCGUUAAGUACCUUGUGAAAUCCCCCGGCUCAACCGGGGAACGGCUGGGUAUACUGGCGGUCUUGAGCCAUCCGAGGGGCAGUCGGAACAGACGGUGGAGCGGUGAAAUGCGUAGAUAUCGUCUGGAACGCCGAAGGUGAAAACAGACUGCUGGGAUGAGCUGACGCUGAGACACGAAAGCCAGGGAGCGAACGGG